ACGGGGUGCAGCAGGCGCGAAACUUUACAAUGCGGGAAACCGCGAUAAGGGGAUACCGAGUGCCAGCAUCUUAUGUUGGCUGUCCACAUGUUUAAAUAGCAUGUGUUAGCAAGGGCCGGGCAAGACCGGUGCCAGCCGCCGCGGUAACACCGGCGGCCCGAGUGGUAGCCACUAUUAUUGGGUCUAAAGGGUCCGUAGCCGGUUUGAUCAGUCUUCCGGGAAAUCUGAUAGCUUAACUAUUAGGCUUCUGGGGGAUACUGUCAGGCUUGGGACCGGGAGAGGUAAGAGGUACUAGAGGGGU
rnacentral:rRNA from 1 species